CCGUAGGUGAACCUGCGGAAGGACAUUACC
rnacentral:rRNA from 1 species